rnacentral:tRNA from 1 species
GCGUUGGUGGCUCAGUGGUAGAAUUCUUGCCUUCCAUGCGAGAGACCUGGGUUCAAUUUCCAGUCAGUGCU